rnacentral:rRNA from 1 species
AUGGCGCCAUCCAUGAGUCUUGCUGCAAAAGGGCUGCUCCCCUUCGGAGCGCUCCCCUCGAGCGGCGUCGCGCAGAGGCCGGUGUCCGUGACCGCCUCCCUGGAGCACAAGCCGAACGAUUCUAAGAGGAAGCUCCUGAAGCUUGCGCUCGGAGGAGUCGGCCUGCCCGCCUUGCUGAGUGCCAACAAGGCUCUCGCCGAUGACCAGGGUGUGUCUUCCUCCAGGAUGUCCUACUCGAGGUUCCUCGAGUACCUCGACAAGGACAGGGUGAAGAAGGUCGACCUGUUUGAGAACGGGACGAUCGCUAUCGUGGAGGCCAUUUCUCCCGAGCUCGGCAACCGCGUGCAGAGGGUCCGUGUGCAGCUUCCCGGCCUCAGCCAGGAGCUUCUCCAGAAGUUAAGGGAGAAGAAUAUUGACUUUGCUGCGCACAACCAGCAGGAGGACUCUGGUAACCUCCUCUUCAACCUUAUCGGGAACUUGGCCUUCCCGCUUAUCCUUAUCGGCGGUCUGUUCUUGCUGUCGAGAAGAGGAGGGUCUGGUGGCAUGGGUGGACCCGGGGGGCCUGGCUUUCCUCUUGGUUUUGGCCAGUCCAAGGCCAAGUUCCAGAUGGAGCCCAACACCGGUGUUACGUUCGAUGAUGUUGCCGGUGUUGACGAAGCAAAGCAAGACUUCAUGGAAGUGGUUGAGUUCCUGAAGAAGCCAGAGAGGUUCACCGCCGUUGGUGCCCGCAUUCCCAAGGGUGUGCUGCUUGUUGGUCCUCCUGGAACUGGUAAGACUUUGCUUGCCAAGGCGAUCGCAGGAGAGGCUGGCGUGCCAUUCUUCUCGAUAUCGGGUUCUGAAUUCGUGGAGAUGUUUGUUGGUGUUGGUGCCUCCCGUGUUCGUGAUCUCUUCAAGAAGGCCAAGGAGAAUGCUCCUUGCAUAGUGUUCGUUGAUGAAAUUGAUGCAGUUGGGAGGCAAAGAGGAACAGGUAUCGGUGGUGGGAACGAUGAAAGGGAGCAGACUCUCAAUCAGCUACUGACUGAGAUGGAUGGUUUUGAGGGCAACACUGGCAUCAUUGUUGUUGCUGCCACCAACAGGGCUGACAUCUUGGAUUCCGCUUUGCUUAGACCUGGGCGCUUUGACAGACAGGUGAGUGUUGAUGUUCCUGAUGUACGUGGAAGGACAGAGAUUCUCAAGGUGCACGGUAGCAACAAGAAGUUUGAUGCUGAUGUUUCCCUUGAGGUCAUUGCAAUGAGAACACCUGGGUUCAGUGGAGCAGACCUGGCGAAUCUUCUGAAUGAGGCAGCCAUAUUAGCAGGCCGACGUGGGAGGACCGGAAUUUCCUCGAAGGAGAUUGAUGAUUCAAUUGACAGAAUAGUGGCUGGUAUGGAAGGAACUGUCAUGACAGAUGGGAAGAGCAAAAGCCUUGUUGCUUACCACGAAGUUGGCCAUGCAGUUUGCGGAACUUUGACGCCUGGCCACGACCCCGUCCAGAAGGUUACCUUGGUUCCAAGGGGUCAAGCCCGUGGUCUCACCUGGUUCAUUCCCAUGGAUGACCCAACACUCAUCUCUAGGCAGCAGCUCUUUGCCAGAAUCGUCGGCGGCCUUGGCGGCAGAGCUGCUGAGGAGAUCAUAUUCGGAGAUUCUGAGGUGACCACCGGAGCUGCCGGUGACCUGCAGCAGAUCACCGGCUUAGCCAAGCAGAUGGUGGUGACGUUCGGCAUGUCGGACAUCGGCCCGUGGUCUCUGAUGGACGCGGCGCAGAGCGGGGACGUGAUCAUGCGGAUGAUGGCCAGGAACUCCAUGUCGGAGAAACUGGCGCUGGACAUCGACUCGGCGGUGAAGCAGCUGUCGGACAAGGCCUAUGAGAUCGCCCUGCAGCAGGUGAGGGACAACCGCGUGGCCAUGGACAAGAUCGUGGAGGUGCUCCUGGAGAAGGAGACGCUGAGCGGUGACGAGUUCCGGGCCAUCCUGUCCGAGUUCACCGAGAUCCCCGUCGAGAACCGGGUGCCCCCGACGCCCCAGGCCGCCGUCCCGGUCUAG